rnacentral:ncRNA from 1 species
AGGGCUGGAAGAGGUGCGUUAUUCAGGUAACUAAGUGAAGGAGAGCAAACUCCGUUGCAGCUUAGUGAGGGGAAUAUACGCCGAGAAAUUGAGUUAUUGUUUGCUAAUACUCAUUUCGGGCGACUGGGCUGAAUCCCAGCGACUGUCACCAACAUACUUGGUGGAGAGCUUCUGGUCUU